rnacentral:rRNA from 1 species
AGCGAACGCUGGCGGCAGGCCUAACACAUGCAAGUCGAACGAAGUCUUCGGACUUAGUGGCGGACGGGUGAGUAACACGUGGGAACGUGCCUUUAGGUUCGGAAUAACUCAGGGAAACUUGUGCUAAUACCGAAUGUGCCCUUCGGGGGAAAGAUUUAUCGCCUUUAGAGCGGCCCGCGUCUGAUUAGCUAGUUGGUGAGGUAACGGCUCACCAAGGCGACGAUCAGUAGCUGGUCUGAGAGGAUGGCCAGCCACACUGGGACUGAGACACGGCCCAGACUCCUACGGGAGGCAGCAGUGGGGAAUCUUGCGCAAUGGGCGAAAGCCUGACGCAGCCAUGCCGCGUGAAUGAUGAAGGUCUUAGGAUUGUAAAAUUCUUUCACCGGGGACGAUAUGACGGUACCCGGAGAAGAAGCCCCGGCUAACUUCGUGCCAGCAGCCGCCGUAA